rnacentral:rRNA from 1 species
AUACGUAGGUGGCAAGCGUUAUCCGGAAUUAUUGGGCGUAAAGAGUGAGCAGGCGGUUAAUUAAGUCUGAGGUUAAAGCGUGGGGCUCAACCCCAUUCUGCCGUUGAUACUGGGUGGCUUGAUUGCGGUCGAGGUUGGCGGAAUUCGUUGUGUAGCGGGGAAAUGCAUAGAUAUGACGAAGAACACCGAUUGCGUAGGCAGCUGACCAGACCGCAAAUGACGCUCAUGCACGAAAGUGCGGGGAUCGAACAGGAUUAGAUACCCUGGUAGUCCGCACAGUAAACGAUGAAUACUUGUUUUCGGCGAUAUAAUGUCGGAGGCAAAGCGAAAGCGAUAAGUAUUCCACCUGGGGAGUACGCCGGCAACGGUGAAACUCAAAUGAAUUGGCGGGG